rnacentral:lncRNA from 1 species
CAUAAACCAUCUUAAAAAUCAUAACAAAAAAUUUAAAGUCUUAACUUGAAAUUAAAAACGUAAAAUAGAUUAAUAAAGUAGCAAUAAUAAGUUCAAAAUUAGCAGUCACAUAAAAAAUUGUAAUCCUACCAUGAGUAGAAAUGGUCUACAAGUAUUCUCUUAUCUUCUCAUUGUAUGUCAUCAUCCUCAACUUGUAAUGGUGCCUUUUCUUUCCCUUCCAUCUAAAGGUAAAAAGUAGAGAACAUAAAAAAUGAUGAAACUUUAUAGGUUAUAAAACAAAUAGCCAAAAAACUAAAGCCAGUAUACAAUUUCAAAAAAGGCAAGACAAAUGAGCGCAUGUCUCAACUGCCAUUAGGCUUAGCCUCGAGGCGGGAAGUUGGGCGCAAGCCUCAGAAAUGCGGCAUAAUCCUUGACAGAUGCGUUCAUGACGUAAGCUUCGAGGCAUUUAAUGAAAACCUCAUGUGAGGCAGGACUUGAGGCAUAAGCCCUGAAAAGCAUUUUAAAACAAUGGCUGCUGAAAAGUUUGGCCAUAUUGUCAGAUAUUGGCAUCACAGAGUAUGCAAAUUUCCAUACAGGGUGGAACUUUGCGUGGAAUUGGACACUUGUGAAUUGAUUCUAUGUUUACAGCGGGUAAUGGCACCAGUAUAAUAUUUUGACCUGACGUUUGAAAAUGUGAUAUUACCAAAGGAAUUCCCUCGACUAAAUGCAUUUGCUGUAAGCAAGAGGGAGUAAUCUCUUUAUGUUCUUUCACAAUUCUGAUCUUGUCUUGUUUACCCUAAAACACUCGGGUAACAGGUCGGAAGUUAAUCUAAGGCCUUUCCUCUAGGUAUCAGUUAUGAAGGUCCCCUUCAAGUCUACAUCUCUUUUAGUUUACAAUAUAUGAUCAUCAUUAAAAUUCUGUGAAUUUUGUUGCUUUGAUAUUCCUCAUCUCAUCGAUCCUCUUUUUUACUUUUGAUCACUUAGUAUUUUCAUCUUCACGAUAGACAUGAAUUAUUAAGCCCAUGUUUGUCUACCAUUAUUUCAAAACUCUUUUUUUUCUCAAAUUCAUUUUCAAUAGAUUCUCUUAAUAAAUAUUUUGCACAUGAACCCAACAGUUUUUCCUACUUUUUAACUACACAUUCUCCAAAAAUUCAAUAUUCAAAAACUCAUUUUCUCUUAAUAAUGGUAGACAAACAGGGCUAAAUUUCUCUCUGUCAUAUUUACAGGCCCUAGUUUGAGCAGCGUAUCUAGAGAUAGUGAACUCUACAAAGCAAAACUAAGUGAAGCUCUGAUGAAAUAUGAGAUGUACGUACAUAAUUUUACCAUUCUUUUUCCUUCGUCCAAAAAGUAAUAGGCCUAAUUAUACUUACCUCUUAUAUGUUGCUUUCAGUUUCGUAGGUUUGGAGAAACAGCUUAUACCUCUCUUCGGAAAACAUGUAAACUGAUGGUAUUCUUCUCAUAUGUGAGAGACGAAAAUCUGCACAAGAUUUUGAUGGUUCAGAAUCUCUGUGUCUGUAGUUUGACAUGGCAGAUCUUCUGACGUAGCCAGAGAUGUUCAACUUAUGUUCAGUGUGAUAUUUCUAUUUCUAGCUUUGUAAAUUCCCUCUUGGCUGUGUAGUUUCAACUUUCAUCAUCAAUGUGAAUAGGAAUCGAAUAUAUUUUUAUUUCUUUGUUAGUUUAUAUCCAUUAUUUUCUAACCCCUUUUUUUCUCUUACUCAGGUUUAUCAGUUUUUGUGAUUGAGUUGGAUUUGCUCUUACUUUCCUCUUUUACCUUUAUUUUUUUCCCAUUAUAUGAAAAUUGUUAUUGGCUGGGGAGCCCCAUCUUUCUCUCAGACAAGGCUGGAGAUUGCUGAUUCAGUUUUCCUGAAUUUUCUUCUUCUUUGUGAAGAAGAUGAAGACGGAAAAUGCGCCUCUUAUGCUUUGCAACAGAAGAAAAGAAAAUUAUUUGGGAUAUUACCAGCUGUAAAGAAGGAUAUGUAACUGCAGCAUUUUAUUUAUGUAUUUUUAAUGAGUAAUGCUUUUCAACACCAUUGACAUUAAAUGAUAUAUUAAUUUAAUUGUAAUAUCACGUGAUUCAUUUAAUUGAACAGACAUAUCAAGUGUGACCAUAGUGUUAGAUGGUAUUAUUCAUUUCUAUUUGACAUUACAACUUUGUUAAAAGAUGCAGGAUUUAUAUGUUGUUAUGAAAUGCUAUCAUCAAGCUCGACUAGGAGUGAAACUAGAAAAUUAUGUCACAGUGGGCUAAAUCAAAUUAUGCUCUGGGCUAAUAUGUAUAAAAUAAAAGAUUCACAUAUAUAUUCCCCACCCCUAAGCUAAAAUAGGAAAUGGGUGUGCAGCAGAAUGGUUUGACCCAUAGCUGUUCCUUGAAAUUAGUGAAUUUAUGAUAGGUUCAAAAUACUUAUUUCAAGGGUAAAAUUUAUUUAAUGCCCCUAAAACUAGAAGUAUGUGCAAAUCUUUUAAUGUCACAAGUCAAAAUAUCAAGAUUUAGUUCAUUAAGAAAUAAUCAAUGAACUAAAGCAUUAUGUAGAUCAAACCAAUUUAUAAUAUAUAUAGUUUGAACUCAAAUGUAAAAAUACCUCAUUAUGCUAAGGAACUCUGAUACCAAAAGUUGUAAGAAGAGUGACAUAUAUAUACAAGGAGGAUAUAAUCAUGGAGUAUAAAGGCUUUUGUUUAUCAACGGUUUUUGUUGUCGAUUUUAUCCCACAAGUGAACGGUUCGUAACAAGUAGUAAAGUGGACCUUUUGAGUCCGAAUUAUCGUUCCCACGAGGACUAUAUUUUAGUGGUUAAUUUAUUAUUCCUAACUUCUAUUUAAUGAAAAUAAAUAAAUAAAUAGAAAUUGAAUGUGAUUUUUAAAUCUAUCUAAAUACUAAAAAAAAAAAAAUGCAAAUGGAUGCAACAGAAAAUAAGCGAGAAUUCAAAUAAUAAACGGGCAUUAGGGCGGAACAAUUUCACCUAAUGGUUACCUUUAUUUCAUAAAUCAAGAUUCAUACAACCUAAAGUAGUGUUCGGUCAAAUUCUUUUGUGGUAUUUCAACUUACUCCUCUCGAGUUCUCGUUGAGCCUAUUUAAUUAGUUCAAUUUCAUAUUUCUAUGCAAAUUAAAUUUAAUUAAACGCAACAUUAGUUCUAAGAAUUCACACACGACCGCAACAAUCAAUAAAGAUUUCUCUACACGUUAUAUCAAUUUACCGGAUUUUAACAUGCAGUCUAAUCAAAUAAUCCGUAUCUCUACGCAAUCAUUGUUCACAAAUCAUCUAAUUAGUUAUCAAGUAAUUAAAAGCAUUAAGCACGACAUUAAAAUCAACACAUAAAAAAUUAAAGCACUAGAAUCUUAAUUCAACGAAAUAAAGGAAUCCAAUUAAGUUAGAUUGUUCGCCCUAAAUCAAAUUUAGCUAUUCAUAAUAAUGGAAGAAAAACAAGAUAAAAUAAUGGAAGACAUCACCGGGAUUAAUUGACGAAGCGUAAUUAAUUUCCAAAGUGACGCUGCCGUGGUCACGUCUUUGUCAUCUUCGUGUUUGCCUUUUCUUCCUUCCAAAUCUGUUUGUGUAAUUCUCCCUUUUUCCCUCUCAGUCUGCACGUGUAUAUAUGUAUAUAUUUGUCAACCAGCAGCCUCAAUUUUUGCCUCUUUUUGUCUCUUCAAAAGCAGCCCAUGUUUGUGUAAAUAUAUAUGUUGCAGCCCACGUUUUUCUUUAUUUCCUCAAACUGCUGAACUCUCCCAGAAGCUGCCUCUUUUUUUGUGUUUUUAUAUGAUUAAUUCAGCCUCCUUUGUUGUGUGCAUUACAGAGACAGCAAUUCUUUUGGUCAGAGAAUCCAAUUCAGCCGCUUGUAAUGUUCUUCCAAUUAACAAACCAAUUUCCGGCAGCCUCCUCGUUUUUUUUUUCUUUUGCUUGUUCUUGUCUCCUCCUUUGUAGCCGCCGAUUUGUAUAUAUAUUUCAGCAGUUGCCGACCUUGUUUGAUGUUUCCUCCCCAGUCCCCAAGCAGCUCUCGUCUGUGAGAAAAUUGUCCCCCACCCCCCCACCCCCGAUUUUCUUCUCUGUAUGCGUGGAUAUAUAUAUACAUAAAACCUAGCAGUAACCCACUUUUCUUUUCCUUUUUCCGCCCCCGACCAG